UACAGAGGUGGCAAGCGUUGUUCGGAAUUACUGGGCGUAAAGGGCGCGUAGGCGGCCUUCUAAGUCAGACGUGAAAUCCCCCGGCUUAACCUGGGAACUGCGUCUGAUACUGGAAGGCUUGAGUGCGGGAGAGGGAUGUGGAAUUCCAGGUGUAGCGGUGAAAUGCGUAGAUAUCUGGAGGAACACCGGUGGCGAAGGCGGCAUUCUGGACCAAUAUUGACGCUGGAGGAGCGAAAGCCAGGGG
rnacentral:rRNA from 1 species